AGGAAUAUUGGGCAAUGCCCGUAAGGGUGACCCAGCAACGCCGCGUGGAGGAUGAAUGCCGUAAGGUUGUAAACUCCUGUGAGAAGGGACGAAAAAGUGGAUUUAAUCCAAAUUGACUGUACCUUCAGAGGAAACCCCGGCUAACUACGUGCCAGCAGCCGCGGUAAUACGUAGGGGGUUAGCGUUGUCCGGAUUUACUGGGUGUAAAGGGCGCGUAGGCGGGUUUGUUAGUCAGAGGUGAAAUCUCCCGGCUUAACCGGGAAACUGCCUUUGAUACUGCAAAUCUUGAGUUCAGAAGAGAGAGAUGGAAUUCCAGGUGUAGUGGUGAAAUACGUAGAUAUCUGGAAGAACACCAGUGGCGAAGCGAUCUCUUGGUCUGAUACUGACGCUGAGGCGCGAAAGCGUGGGUAGCAAACAGGAUUAGAUACCCUGGUAAGUCCACGCUGUAAACGAUGAAUACUAGAUGUUGGUCCUUAUGGAACAGUGUCGAAGCUAACGCAUUAAGUAUUCCACCUGGGGAGUACGAUCGCAAGGUUGAAACUCAAAGGAAUUGACGGGGGCCCGCACAAGCAGUGGAGCAUGUGGUUUAAUUCGAUGCAACGCGAAGAACCUUACCUGGGCUUGAAAGCAAGCGACAGGGUGUGAAAGCACCCCUCCACAAUGGCGCUUGUACAGGUGCUGCAGGCUGUCGUC
rnacentral:rRNA from 1 species